UACGUAGGGUGCAAGCGUUAAUCGGAAUUACUGGGCGUAAAGCGUACGCAGGCGGCUUUGCAAGACAGGUGUGAAAUCCCCGGGCCUAACCUGGGAACUGCAUUUGUGACUGCAUAGCUAGAGUUUGUCAGAGGGGGGUGGAAUUCCACGUGUAGCAGUGAAAUGCGUAGAGAUGCGGAGGAACACCGAUGGCGAAGGCAGCCCCCUGGGCUAACACUGACGCUCGGGCACGAAAGCGUGGGGAGCAAACAGG
rnacentral:rRNA from 1 species